UUAAGUCAAAUUUGUAUGGAGCUGGAACAGUGCCCGUAGCGGCAAACAUAGGCAAACGUUCCAACUCCAUACAAAUUUAAAUUA
rnacentral:pre_miRNA from 1 species